GAUUAUGGCUCAGGAUGAACGCUAGCUACAGGCUUAACACAUGCAAGUCGAGGGGCAUCAUUGGGAUAGCUUGCUAUUCAGAUGGCGACCGGCGCACGGGUGAGUAACGCGUAUCCAACCUUCCCCUUAGUAGGGCAUAGCCCGGCGAAAGUCGGAUUAAUACCCUAUGUUGUAUAUUGAGGACAUCUGAUUUAUACCAAAGAUUCAUCGCUAAGGGAUGGGGGAUGCGUCCGAUUAGGUAGUCGGCGGGGCAACGGCCCACCGAGCCGUCGAUCGGUAGGGGUUCUGAGAGGAAGGUCCCCCACACUGGUACUGAGACACGGACCAGACUCCUACGGGAGGCAGCAGUGAGGAAUAUUGGUCAAUGGGCGAGAGCCUGAACCAGCCAAGUAGCGUGCAGGAAGACGGCCCUAUGGGUUGUAAACUGCUUUUAUCAGGGGAUAAAGUGAGGGACGUGUCCCUUAUUGCAGGUACCUGAUGAAUAAGGACCGGCUAAUUCCGUGCCAGCCGCGGC
rnacentral:rRNA from 1 species